AGUCGACGGCAGCACGGAGCUUGCUCUGGUGGCGAGUGGCGAACGGGUGAGUAAUAUAUCGGAACGUACCCUAGAGUGGGGGAUAACGUAGCGAAAGUUACGCUAAUACCGCAUACGAUCUAAGGAUGAAAGUGGGGGAUCGCAAGACCUCAUGCUCGUGGAGCGGCCGAUAUCUGAUUAGCUAGUUGGUAGGGUAAAAGCCUACCAAGGCAUCGAUCAGUAGCUGGUCUGAGAGGACGACCAGCCACACUGGAACUGAGACACGGUCCAGACUCCUACGGGAGGCAGCAGUGGGGAAUUUUGGACAAUGGGCGAAAGCCUGAUCCAGCAAUGCCGCGUGAGUGAAGAAGGCCUUCGGGUUGUAAAGCUCUUUUGUCAGGGAAGAAACGGUGAGAGCUAAUAUCUCUUGCUAAUGACGGUACCUGAAGAAUAAGCACCGGCUAACUACGUGCCAGCAGCCGCGGUAAUACGUAGGGUGCAAGCGUUAAUCGGAAUUACUGGGCGUAAAGCGUGCGCAGGCGGUUUUGUAAGUCUGAUGUGAAAUCCCCGGGCUCAACCUGGGAAUUGCAUUGGAGACUGCAAGGCUAGAAUCUGGCAGAGGGGGGUAGAAUUCCACGUGUAGCAGUGAAAUGCGUAGAUAUGUGGAGGAACACCGAUGGCGAAGGCAGCCCCCUGGGUCAAGAUUGACGCUCAUGCACGAAAGCGUGGGGAGCAAACAGGAUUAGAUACCCUGGUAGUCCACGCCCUAAACGAUGUCUACU
rnacentral:rRNA from 1 species